rnacentral:tRNA from 1 species
GGUCUUAUAGUCAAUAAUGAUAUUAAAUUGCAAAUUUAAAGGAAAAAAAAUUUUUAAGGCUU